GAUGAACGCUGGCGGCGUGCCUAAUACAUGCAAGUCGAGCGAACGGACGAGAAGCUUGCUUCUCUGAUGUUAGCGGCGGACGGGUGAGUAACACGUGGAUAACCUACCUAUAAGACUGGGAUAACUUCGGGAAACCGGAGCUAAUACCGGAUAAUAUUUUGAACCGCAUGGUUCAAAAGUGAAAGACGGUCUUGCUGUCACUUAUAGAUGGAUCCGCGCUGCAUUAGCUAGUUGGUAAGGUAACGGCUUACCAAGGCAACGAUGCAUAGCCGACCUGAGAGGGUGACUGGCCAAACAGAAAGUGGAGAACGGCCCAGAUCCCAAGGGGGGGAAGCAGGAGGGAAUUUGCCGAAAGGGGGGAAACCCGAACGGAGAACCGCGGGGGGAGGGAGGAGGGUUUUGGGUUUGAAAAACUCUUUUAUUGGGGAAAAACAAAUGUGUAAGUAACUGUGCCCAUUUGAAGGGUACCUAAGAAGAAAGCCACGGUAAACUAGGG
rnacentral:rRNA from 1 species